rnacentral:rRNA from 1 species
UACGAAGGGGGCUAGCGUUGUUCGGAAUUACUGGGCGUAAAGGGCGCGUAGGCGGUACCUCAAGUCAGGCGUGAAAGCCCCGGGCUCAACCUGGGAACCGCGCUUGAGACUGGAGAACUAGAGUUCGGGAGAGGAUGGUGGAAUUCCCAGUGUAGAGGUGAAAUUCGUAGAUAUUGGGAAGAACACCGAUGGCGAAGGCAGCCAUCUGGACCGACACUGACGCUGAGGCGCGAAAGCGUGGGGAGCAAACAGG